UGCUCUGUAACUCAAAGAUUNUUCGCCACAGGAUGGGUCUGCGGCCGAUUAGGUAGUUGUUGGGGUAACGGCCCAACAAGCCUUUGAUCGGUACGGGUUGUGGGAGCAAGAGCCCGAAGAUGGAUUCUGAGACACGAAUCCAGGCCCUACGGGGCGCAGCAGGCGCGAAAACUUUACAAUGCGGGAAACCGUGAUAAGGGAACUCCGAGUGUCCGUAAAUGCGGACUGUCCGUAUGUCUAAAAAGCAUGCGAAGAAAGGGCCGGGCAAGACCGGUGCCAGCCGCCGCGGUAAUACCGGCGGCUCGAGUGGUGGCCACUAUUAUUGGGCUUAAAGCGUUCGUAGCUGGAUCGUUAAGUCUCUUGGGAAAUCUACCGGCUUAACCGAUAGGCGUCCAAGGGAUACUGGCGAUCUAGGGACCGGGAGAGGUGAGGGGUACUUCAGGGGUAGGAGUGAAAUCCUGUAAUCCUUGGGGGACCACCUGUGGCGAAGGCGCCUCACCAGAACGGCUCCGACAGUGAGGGACGAAAGCUGGGUGAGCAAACCGGAUUAGAUACCCGGGUAGUCCCAGCCGUAAACGAUGCGCGUUAGGUGUAUCGAUGACCACGAGUCAUCGAGGUGCCGAAGGGAAACCGUGAAACGCGCCGCCUGGGAAGUACGGUCGCAAGGCUGAAACUUAAAGGAAUUGGCGGGGGAGCACAA
rnacentral:rRNA from 1 species